UCUGGUUGAUUCUGCCAGUAGUCAUAUGCUUGUCUCAAAGAUUAAGCCAUGCAUGUCUAAGUAUAAGCACUUUAUACUGUGAAACUGCGAAUGGCUCAUUAAAUCAGUUAUCGUUUAUUUGAUAGUACCUUACUACAUGGAUACCUGUGGUAAUUCUAGAGCUAAUACAUGCUAAAAACCUCGACUUCGGAAGGGGUGUAUUUAUUAGAUAAAAAACCAAUGCCCUUCGGGGCUCCUUGGUGAUUCAUAAUAACUUAACGAAUCGCAUGGCCUUGCGCCGGGCGAUGGUUCAUUCAAAUUUCUGCCCUAUCAACUUUCGAUGGUAGGAUAGUGGCCUACCAUGGUGGCAACGGGUAACGGGGAAUUAGGGUUCGAUUCCGGAGAGGGAGUGAGAAACGGCUACCACAUCCAAGGAAGGCAGCAGGCGCGCAAAUUACCCAAUCCCGACACGGGGAGGUAGUGACAAUAAAUACUGAUACGGGGCUCUUUUGGGUCUCGUAAUUGGAAUGAGUACAAUCUAAAUCCCUUAACGAGGAACAAUUGGAGGGCAAGUCUGGUGCCAGCAGCCGCGGUAAUUCCAGCUCCAAUAGCGUAUAUUAAAGUUGUUGCAGUUAAAAAGCUCGUAGUUGAACCUUGGGUCUGGCUGGCCGGUCCGCCUCACCGCGAGUACUGGUCCGGCUGGACCUUUCCUUCUGGGGAACCUCAUGGCCUUCACUGGCUGUGGGGGGAACCAGGACUUUUACUGUGAAAAAAUUAGAGUGUUCAAAGCAGGCCUUUGCUCGAAUACAUUAGCAUGGAAUAAUAGAAUAGGACGUGCGGUUCUAUUUUGUUGGUUUCUAGGACCGCCGUAAUGAUUAAUAGGGAUAGUCGGGGGCGUCAGUAUUCAGCUGUCAGAGGUGAAAUUCUUGGAUUUGCUGAAGACUAACUACUGCGAAAGCAUUCGCCAAGGAUGUUUUCAUUAAUCAGGGAACGAAAGUUAGGGGAUCGAAGACGAUCAGAUACCGUCGUAGUCUUAACCAUAAACUAUGCCGACUAGGGAUCGGGCGGUGUUUCUAUGAUGACCCGCUCGGCACCUUACGAGAAAUCAAAG
rnacentral:rRNA from 1 species